CCGGAGCUUGCUCCACCGGAAAAAGAGGAGUGGCGAACGGGUGAGUAACACGUGGGUAACCUGCCCAUCAGAAGGGGAUAACACUUGGAAACAGGUGCUAAUACCGUAUAACAAUCGAAACCGCAUGGUUUUGAUUUGAAAGGCGCUUUCGGGUGUCGCUGAUGGAUGGACCCGCGGUGCAUUAGCUAGUUGGUGAGGUAACGGCUCACCAAGGCCACGAUGCAUAGCCGACCUGAGAGGGUGAUCGGCCACAUUGGGACUGAGACACGGCCCAAACUCCUACGGGAGGCAGCAGUAGGGAAUCUUCGGCAAUGGACGAAAGUCUGACCGAGCAACGCCGCGUGAGUGAAGAAGGUUUUCGGAUCGUAAAACUCUGUUGUUAGAGAAGAACAAGGAUGAGAGUAACUGUUCAUCCCUUGACGGUAUCUAACCAGAAAGCCACGGCUAACUACGUGCCAGCAGCCGCGGUAAUACGUAGGUGGCAAGCGUUGUCCGGAUUUAUUGGGCGUAAAGCGAGCGCAGGCGGUUUCUUAAGUCUGAUGUGAAAGCCCCCGGCUCAACCGGGGAGGGUCAUUGGAAACUGGGAGACUUGAGUGCAGA
rnacentral:rRNA from 1 species